UACGAAGGGGGCUAGCGUUGCUCGGAAUCACUGGGCGUAAAGCGCCCGUAGGCGGCUUGCUAAGUCAGGGGUGAAAUCCUGGAGCUCAACUCCAGAACUGCCUUUGAUACUGGCGACCUUGAGUCCGGGAGAGGUGAGUGGAACUGCGAGUGUAGAGGUGAAAUUCGUAGAUAUUCGCAAGAACACCAGUGGCGAAGGCGGCUCACUGGCCCGAUACUGACGCUGAGGCACGAAAGCCAGGGGAGCAAACGGG
rnacentral:rRNA from 1 species